AAAGUGGAAGCUCAGCCACUUGUGCAAUUGCCUGACUUGGAAACUACUGUGGUGGUCCGGGCAGCCAUGCUGAUUGUGCCCAAGGGUGGCCCUGCAUGGAGCUCUGCAGGAGCAGGUGGGGUCUGUCCCUGCCUGGCAGAGGCUGCCCCUCUAUUUGGCACAUCCAAAUUUCUUCCAUUUGCACCCUCGUCAUCUUUUCUCUGGGUUCCCCAAAUCCCUUUUCUUGGCUGUUCCAAAUGCCCUCUCUUUGGGUCCCCACAUCCCAUGCUUUUUGCACCAACAGAUCUCCUUUAAUUGGCAACCCGAUUCUCAUCUCUUUAGGUCCCCAAUCCCUUGUGUUUCAUUUUCCCUCAUUCUCCGUUCCUCUCUGUUUAGCACCCCCAAGACUCUUGGCACCCCUAUUCCCCUCCUUUGGGCCACCCUACCCCUACCCCGUCCCUAUACCCAAACGCAACACUGGGCUCCUCCAUUGGAGAGGCGCACAAAGACCUUGGCAGCCAUGGGGUGGGGGCAGCCCUGGUACCAACCAGGCAGCUUGGAUAGGGUCGCCCUGUGAUCCCCGAGACUCACAGUCCCCUCAUGGCUGCCCCAUUGCUCUUCUUCCCCAGGCACCACCACAUGUUGCUGUUGGCCUUCCUGGAUUGGAUGUGCUCAGCAGGACAGAGGAGAAUCCCCCACGCGUGAGACGCGUGGUCCUGGAUCUACUUGUCUAGG